AGGUAUUUAAUGCUUAACAAGAAAGAAAUGCAGAUGGUGACAGCAGCCCAGCCUAAGGUCAGAUGAUGUGGUGAUUGACAUAUAGCUAUUUUCAUUUUAAUAUUUUGAAUAUUCAUGAAUAAUUUUACACACAUACUAUAUGCAAAAUAAUGCAUAAUUAUAGGUAACGUAUGUACAGUUAUAUUUAUCUGAAUUUAUCAGAUCAGUCCUUCAAAUCUUUUGGAGGUGGCCUUAAAUAUGACAACCAGGUAAUAAGUACAGUGAUUAAUUUAAAAACUCGCCAAAGGUGUAGUCUGUAAUUUAACAUUAAACAUGUUAUAAGUCUUAUUGUGGAAGUUAAGCACAUUCAUAGUUUGCUUCUGUGUCAUAUCUUCUGUUUGUUUAGAUAAGUUUCUGUGUAGCUGUAACAGGUGCUUUGUUAGCCUUGUUAGAAAGACAUCAGAGACAGCUCUGUCUCUGAGUGGUAACGCACACCAAGGUCAUUCUCCAGCUGGUGUGAAUGUUUCACUCAGCCCCGUGGUGUUGAAAUGGCAUUGUUUCCUUUCCCUUACACUUGAGGACAAAGAUAACCCUGUGAAAUUCUUGCCAAGUGCUUCUCGGUGAUUGAGAAGAACAGCUUGUACAGUCUGUAUGUCCACAGCCAUUUAUGUGUUGUCUUUUUGACUGUGUGACCCUUUUCUAAGGAUGUUCAUGAGAGCAAAAGUUGCUGCACACAUUAUCCAGUUAACUUUGUAUUUAAGGUUAAAGAACAAUUAACAAUAAAUUUUAAGUUAAUUGUAAGGUCUAUAGUCUAUAGUAAGAGUUAUAGUCAUUAUUUGAAUAAAAUAAUCUUUUUUGUCCAUACAUACUAUGCUACAAUAGUAUUAGGUGUUAAUUUUUAAUUGUAAGGUUAACUGUAAAGUAUUAACAGCCACUUUUGAGUUAGAGUGAUUAUUUGCAUAAAUAAUGAUGGUUUUAUCAGCAUGCUUCAAUAAUUUUGGGUAUUUAUUGUUAAUCAAGUUACUAUGGAAUCUCAUCUUUGGUCAUGCCUCAUGUCUUUCAAUAUCUGAGGUGCCAUUUGUUUUCAUUACACCCUUGAGUGAGUCAUAUACAUUAACACUCCAGAGUGAUAAAUGGGUUCAAGAUUAACAGCAAGCCAUGCUAUGUAUGGACAGUUGAGGGUUAAAGAGCAAGCAAGUGAAGAAGUGCGGUACAAGGUGCAAGUCAACAGCAAUAAGUGUGAAUUAUGUUUCUACAUUCACUUUCCCCUCUUUAGAUAAAGUGACACUGACAUAAAAAGACGAGCCUGCGUAAAGGUUUUUAAAAUGAUGGACAUUCAGCAGACUCACUUUGCUGAAGGACAUUUAAAAAAUGGUUUACGUUAUUUAUUUAUUAUAAUUAUUAUUUUAUUUUUUAUUUUUGGUAAUACAAUGUUAUCUUUUUAAACAGAAAUUUUGAUUAUCCAGUAUAGGGUAGAAAUGACUAAAACAGAAUAAAAUGUUUAUACAUUUUCAUACAUACAUAAUGUGUGGUGAUUUUUAUAGUGAUCAAAACUAUAUUUACAUUACAUUAUGUUUAUAAUUUAGUUACUAAGAGAAAAUACUGUAAAGACUGUAUAGAUAUUUUUGCUCAGAUGACCAAAGGAUGUGCCAUUGUCACAAUCUUGUUGACGCUGGAUUGUUUUUUUUUUUCCCCUAUUGUCCUUGAGUACAAAGAUAACCCUGUCAAAUUCCUACUGAGUGCCUUUCGCUGAUUGAGAAGGACAGCUCAUGCCCUAUAUGCCUGGAGCAGAUGCUCCUAUUGUAAAGGUCUCCAAGCACAUAAAUAAAAGUAUCUACUUAUAGUUUUGGCAGCGUUGCAUGCUUUAUAGACUAUAGACUAUUUACGUUACAUGGCCAAUUGAGGGAAAACAAUGCAGGUCCUAACAUAUGUUCACAUGCUUAUUCCAAUUGUACGGAUUAAAAAGAUGUGGCUAUUGAUAAUUAUUUCAGAUGACUUUGUCUAAAUAUUUUGUUUUGCCUAAACAAAAGAGGAAACAUCUGGAAAACAGUGUUAAGGUACAAUCUUUAAUCCACCCUGUCCUCAAAUUCUCAGCUGCUCUUUGCAGACUCCUCCUCUAAUAAACACCAUCCUAUUGGCUUCCUUAUCACCUUGAACAACGCUAAGGCAACUCAGAUAUACUGUAACCUUCAGACUAUCCAGCAACUCCCUGUUUCUCCUGAUAUAUAUUUGUAAAUUUUGCAGAUGUGUCUAUUUCCAGGCUAGAAAAGAAGGAAAAGUUUAUUUUUUUAAGUAUAUACAGAUCGGGAUCUAUUAGGAUACUGCAACCUCUGAACAGAGAACAAACUGAUGAAGAAGAUGUCUCCAUGUCUAUGACCACCUGUAAAAUGUCCAUCAUACCUUUUAUGGCACAUAGCCACUAACAGAGCACACACAGAGGCUGUUUAUUUGGCAGCUACAGGUUUUAGUGUCAAAGAGCACUAAAUCACAGUGUACAAGCUUUUGAGAGAGAGUCAAGUGAGCUCUUCACUCCUCAUCAUGAGUUUUCUGGAAGAGGAAAUAAAGACAAGAGCAGGAGUUAUAAACAUGUUACCGUUGCUUGAAGUCACCAUAGAGGAUCCUGUUAGGGAAGCCCUUUCUGCAGAUUCUGAUGCCCUCCAGCACACCAUUACAGCGCAGCUGGUGCAUUACUAGAGGAUUCUCCAUGGCCCCUGGAGUCUUUGUCUCAUUGGGAAUGAUGCAGCGCACAAAAUGAGGAUGAGUUGAUCUCAGGUUGGUCAUCAGCUUGUUUAAAUUCUCCUAAAGAUCAAAUAAGUACAGGCAACAUGGUCUCACACUUGCAAAGUUGUAAGAAUUCACAUGACUUGAUUUGUAUAAAAAGUUAAGGCUGGCAUUAAUGGCUGACCUUGACCAAAUUUAACGUAAUGGUACACCACUGAUCACAGAAAAACUUUUUGUCUGUUUUAUGUUCAUUAUCCAUUAAACUAGUAUACUAUACUCUGGGCAACUAUAAAACUACUGUCAAAAUGACAAAGUACUGAUUUGGUAAUGUAACUGUACCUUAUAUCAGUACAGUCACUGUAUGUCAAAAUGUUGAGCUUUCUAUAGUUUUGAGAUUUAUACAACUUAUCUCACCCUAUGGAGGGCAGACACAGUCUGGAAAGUAGAACCCUUUUUCUUCUUUUCCUUUUUUCCACUUGCACUCCCUUCUGCCAUGGCUAUUAGAAUAAAAUGCCUGAUGAUUAGAACAAAAUGCUUGAUGACUAGGAAAUGGUAAUACAUUCUUCAGCCAUCUGAGUCAUCUUACCUGAAUCAGCACCAGCAUAAUUUGCAAAAAGGUGAGCAAGCAAUUUCAUGGUGGAUUUCUGGUACAGCCCCACAACAGUUUCAUUGAGUGGAUCCUUGUUCUUCACCAGCCAGUUGUUAAUGUUGUAGUCAACAGUGCCUGCAUAAUGAACCAGGGCAAAGUGAGCCUCUGGUUUACCCUUCACAAUCCUGGGCUUCUGGAAGUUAGCAGAUUUUCCCAAGUGGUUGUCGUAAAGCUUAGCUUUGAAUGUGGUAUCACUGGCUUUGGGGAACAUGCACUCCUCUUCAAGGAUGGACAUGAUACCCAUGGGCUACAGAGAAUAGAAUGAAAAAGCAUGAGUUUCUCUCAUUUCCAAACUAGGUUUCUGAAAUCAAGUUGUUAGCUCAAAUCCCACAUCUCACCUUUUCAAUGAGAUCAAUACAAGCCUGCAAGUCCAUGCCGAAGUCAAUGAAUGUCCACUCAAUACCCUCUUUCUUGUAUUCUUCUUGCUCCAGCACAAACAUGUGGUGGUUGAAGAACUGCUGCAACUUCUCAUUAGUGAAGUUGAUACACAGCUGCUCAAAGGUGUUAAACUGUUAAGGAAAACAUAUAGUGAUUAAUAAUGAUGCACUCCUCAUAAAUCCUGAUAUAAAGCUCUUUGGCAGUAGAGAUUUGUAUGAGAGCAAGAAAUUUGUACAAGCAAACGUACCUCAAAGAUCUCAAAGCCAGCGAUAUCCAGCACACCAAUGAAGUACUGGCGAGGCUGCUUGGUGUCCAGAGAUUGGUUAAUUCUCACAACCAUCCAAAGGAACAUCUUCUCAUAUACUGCCUUUGACAAAGCUCCAGUAGCAUAGUAUACCUAUAGUGCAGAAUAUAUAUUCAUUCUUUAUAGAAAUAUUAUUUUGAUGAUAGCCUUAUAGAUUGUAUAUCUGGUUGGUAUCAUUCGUUUCUAACCUGCUGGACAUUCUGGCCCCUAGUGACCCACUCAUUUCCUACUUUGACUCUGGGGUGACACAGAGCUUUGAUGAGAUCAGCGGAGUUCAGGCCCAUUAGAUAAGCGGAUUUGUCAGCAUCUGAAAUAGACCAUUCCCAUUAUUAAUCAUACAUUUCUUGCUUGUAUAAUCUGAGCGCACCCUUGUCAAAUGGUGGGAAUUACCAUUUGGUCAUCUUUACUAGGUAUGUAUUGUGCCUACACUACAAGGGCCUGCUCUACUCUGGGUAAGCUAGACUCCCAAUAAGUAAUGAGUGCAAGUUGAAUUGCUUACUUUAAUGCUAAUUUGCUAAUAGUUGAACCUUUUCUUCUAUCAGCACAAAUCUAGUUGACUAAGAAGUGAAUCAUUACUAAAUUUUAACUGUAAAAAUGAAUUGAAAUGACACAUUUUGUCACACCUUCUUAAUUUAAGCCAUCUGAUAUAAUUUUUAAAAUUUAAAAUAAUACAAAUAAUCAUAUCCCACUUACAUAUAGUAUAUUCUUACAGAAACACAUUAAUGCAAGAAAAAAAAAUCCCCAUCAGCAUCUUGUUAUUAUGAGAAAAGCAUCUUGUUACUGCAAGAAAACAUUAUUAUUACAAAAAAAGCAUCUCUACAAUAUAUACAUGAAUAAUCAUGCACUAAUACCUGAAUUAAUACUUACUUAUGAGCUAAUAAUGAGUUAAGGCAUGUACUAAUCACAAACUAAUGAAGAGCUAACCUUAACUACGAUGUGAGUCUUAUGAAUUCAUGCAUGAAUAACAAACACCUUAAGUACAUAUUAGCACAUAUUAGUUUGUAGUACGUUUGUUAGAUAAUGUAUCAAUUAACACAUGGGGUAAACUAAAUCAAACAUGCUCUAUAAGAAAGAAUAUAAAUUAAACAUGCAUAAUUGUUUAUAUAAUUUGCCAUUUCAUCUCAACCCGUUUUGCGUCAUUCUCCAUCCAUUUCUCUUCAAAUCCCACUGUAGUAAUAGAAUGUGCUCUGGGUGGCUAGGGCUUGGGGCACUCCUUUGCCCACAAGGGUGAAAUUAGCCACCCAGAGCACAUACUAUUACUACAGUAGGAUUUGAAGAGAAAUGGAUGGAGAAUGACGCAAAACAGGUUGGUGUUUAUUAUUAUUGCGUCUUUCUACAUAUGAAGGACUCUUAAAUCCCAGUGUUUAUACAGAUGCAAAAAUUGUUCACGCUCCUUAGACAAUUGUCCAAUCCUAGCAGAUCUAGUUGAAUGACAUGAGAAACUCUAGUUUACAGUAUUUUAAAUGUCUACAGGCUGGGAUUGUUAUUACAUACCCAAAACGCUGUCAGACUUUUAUUUAAAAAGAUGUGUCUUUGUGGAGUUGAGAUGCAGGAAUGGCCUUUGAUGCAGGCUGUAUUUCUUUAGAUAUAUGGCACAAGCACCUGUAUAAACACCGGGAUUUGAGAAUUCUUUGUAAAGUGCAUGUAGUACUGACAAUGCCGUCUACAGCGCUCAGUGACAUUAACAUCUCAUUGUGGUUUAAGCCAAGCAUGAAGUAAAAUUUCAGAGAUAACGAUAUGUUUUCUUGUAGUCACAAGAUGCUUUUCUCAGAAGAAUGAGAUGUUUUCUUGUAAUCACAAGUAAUACCGAGAUACUGACGGGGAUUUUUUCCUUGUGUAGCAGCAGUGUGCUUCUUUAUAUGCUUUUUAGAGUGUGUAAAUUACAAAUCUUUGUUGCAAUUAUAAUCCCUUUGUUGAGAUUAGUUAUAUUAGAGAACCUGUAAUUAAAGAAACUGUAAUCGAUUUUACCGAAAUAUAAACAAUGCAUUUAUUUGAUGAUGAUAUACCCUCAGUGCCAUCAGACUCAGCCUGCUCCUCUCUCUGCUUCUGCUUGAACUUCAUGUUGCCGUAGUGCAUGAUGGCACCAGUCAGCUUAUAGAUGCUGUUCUUUUCCUCUUGGGUGAAGCCCAGAACAUCAAAAGCUUCCUACAGAAAAAAAGUGAAGUGUCUCUCUUUAAUACAAGUAUGUCAGCUUGACUCAAGUUGCUCAAGAACAUCAGCAUAGACUGUACAGUUAAAAUUGAAUAUACUUGCCCUUAGGAACCUACAGUUAACAUCUUGUUACAAUAUCAUUCAUAAUUCUGAUUUUGGUUUUAGAUAGCUUCUUUUUUUUUUACAUACAUCAGUAGCCAUCAGCUCCUCAGCAUCAUUAAUAGAGGCUACUUGAGUCUCUCCUUGGGAGAUGUAGGCAUAAUCAUAAGGGUUGGCUGUAAUAAGCAGCAUUUCUGUCAAAGAUGAAAAAAGAGAGAAAGACAUUUUUGUAAAGGUUAUGUAAAGUAUGUGUACUGAACCGCACAGAAUGCAUUAUUAAUAUUGAUAUUUCUUGCUGACCUAGCAGCUCAGGUUUCUUCUGAGACAAGAUCUGAUAGAAGAUAUGGUAGUCUCUCUCAGCUUUGAGCUGGAAAGUCACACGGGAUUUCUCUAGGAGAUCUGUAUCAGCCAGAAUAACAAGACAAACGCAGAGGCCAGUUUGCCAGUGGCACCAAAGUGGAUCCGGAUAAACUUGCCCUAUUUGAAAAGUUUCUCAAAAAGAGGUAGACUUACGUGAUAAGGAUGGACUGGUUUUCCCUGUCUAAAAUAAAGGCUGUGAUACCCUGAUGCUAUGACACUCACAGUGCUACAGUAAAGGCUGAUAAACAAUAUGUGGUGUCUUAUAGUACCAAUUCUCUUCCCAAAGUUGCUGUGGUGAUGACAUUUGGAUUGGGAUGCCCUUUUUGCAUUACCAGGUAUUUCAUCAUGUCACUAGUAGAAAUUAUUUUCAAAGUCAAUUGACUAAACAUUUGCCUGUUUCUUUUUUUGUGAGUGAUGACACUUGGGAAUGUGAAGAGCAAAUGUCUGAAUUUUGCUGGCACAAAUAUUAUUCUAGUAAACAUCUGAAUAAUAUAUAUACUUUAUAUAUGUUGCAUGUUAUUGGGAAAUUCAUAUUAGUACACUGAAAUGAAUAAUAGUAUCCACCUAAGAACACUACUCCGAAGUAUGAGGAUGUAUUUAUUUUUAGAAUGAAACAUCUAACAGGGUGAAGUAAGCCUGCAUGCCUUACCAAGUGAGAGCAACAGAAACCCUACAUGCUUUACCAAGUGAUAACAACAACAAGGCAGAGGUCAGUCCACUUAAUAGUGCAAGUGUCGGUGAUGAGUAUUAAACCUGCUCUCCUUAAUACCCUCUUUAGUUUACAGGGAACUGUUCUAUACAUCCAAAGAAAUAUGAUAUAACCUUAAUGAGCCAUGGCGAGAGACCUAGGAAAUACCUAGCCAGAAUGAGCAUUCAAGUCAAUUACACUGUUGACCUAAUGGAUUAACAAGAAUGACGGAGUGUAUUGGAGCUGCAAGGGUGUGUUUUGCUUGUAAAAGAAGUCAAGCAUUUUAUUUUUCCAUGGAAGAAGUAGUCCAAACCUGACGUGAUCCCCACCUCCCCUCACUUAAAAGGUGAAAAUGACAUGUAAGGACUGUACCUCAAAUACGUUAUACAGUGCAUUCAGAAAAUAUUCAAAAUAUUCAUUUUUUCCACAUUUUGUUAUGUUGCAGCCUUAUGUUAAAAUGCUUUAAAUUAUAUUUUUCCACACCAAUCUACACUCCAUACCCCAUAAUGACAAAGCAAAAACCAGAUUUGUGAUAUCUUUUCAAGUUUAUUAAAAAGAAAAAACUGAAAUAUCACAUUGACAUAAUUAUUCAGACCUUUUGCUAUGACACUUGAAAUUUAGCUCGGGUUCAUCUCAUUUCUCUGGAUCAUCUUUGAGAUGUUUCACUUUGAUUGGAGUGAACCUGUGGCAAAUUCUAUUGAUUGGACAUGAUUUGGAAAGGCACACACCUGUCUAUAUAAGGUCUAACAGCUGGAAAUGCAUAUCAGAGCAAAAACCAAGCCAGGGUUCAGAGACAGGAUCGUGUUGAGGCACAGAUCUGGGGAAGGCUACAAAAAAAAUCUCUGCUGAAAUUGAAGGUUCCCAAGAUUAAAUGGAAGAAGUUUGGAAUAACCAGGACUCUUCCUAGAGCUGGCCGCCCAGCCAAACUGAGCAAUCGGGGGAGAAGAGUCCUGCUAAGAGAGGUGACCAAGAACCCGAUGGUCACUCUGGUUGAGCUCCAGAGAUCAUGUGUGGAAAUGGGAGAAACUUGCAGAAGGUCAACCAUCACUAAAGCCCAGAUCAGUGGAGUAUUGCAGGGAUGGUUGACCUUCAAGUUUUUCCCAUCUCCCAUUACCAAGGCCCUUCUCCCGCCGAAUGUGAAUGUGAUAUUUCAGUUUUUUUCUUAUUUAAUACACUUGCAAAGUUAUCACAAAUCUAGUUUUUGUUUUGUUAUUAUGGGGUAUGGAGUGUAGAUUGAUGUGAAAAAAAAAUUAAAGCAUUUUUGCGUAAGGUUGCAACAUAACAAAAUGUGAAAAAUGAAGGGGCCUGAAUAGUUUCUGAAUGCACUGUAUGCUUACUUAUUUACAGAACAGGACAAUUUCCUGCGAAUCAUUUACUGCUGUCUUACAUUCAUCCAAUAUUGCUACAGAAAAACCCAAAACCACAAAAACUGUAAUGUAUGUCAGUAGAUGAGACAGCUAUUUGGUUUUUUCUGAUGUGUAGCAAGCAAGAGAAAGAAAACAGUAAGGUAAAAGUCUGAGACCAUAGUCCUGCCCACUUCCUUUCUAUUAGCUCACAAGAUCAAGGUUUGCGAAUUCAUAGGUUAAAGUUCGCCUAGAUAAAAUCGUUGCGAAGCGGAAGAAAUAAACAAAUAAGUGUCUUUCACAAAGUGAAUUCUUCAGUGAAUUGGCUUUUCCACUGUGAAGGGGAUUUGCAUUUGGCCUGACCACCACUUUACCUGAAAAGCUUAGUUUUCAUGUGUACCCAAGUCUUAUUUUUCUAAAGCAGUGGAGUCUCACAGCUGUUGAUUACUAUAGUUCUCCCUCUUGGUGAAGGCAUUUUUCCCACUCUCUGAGAUACUGAAUCUCUCAGCCUGUCUACAUCACCCCAAAAUGGUUUGUUCUGUACCCUCUUGCAUUCAGAAAAGUCAGCCAGCCAGAGGUAGACCAGAUGUGACCCUAACACUCUGUUCUCUGUCUCUACAAUGGUGUUGCAAAUAAACCAUAUCUUGCAUAACACGACAUGUUGCUGAUCUUUACCGCAAAGUCCCUGUGCAAUCUGAAGAAAUUUGUGAUCUCCUCUGUAUUGCUGUGUCAAGGGGUCAAAGAUGGUAAAUGCCACCUCUGUUCAUUGCACUAUGGUGUAUCACUUUUCUGCACAGUGACAGAUACUCACUUUAUAUUUGGUUGAUCAUCCUCUGAUAUAAUUAUUCCAAUGUUACAGUAUGUGAUAUGUGUGUAUUGUUUGUAUGCUCAUGUUAUUUAAUGUAUGCCAAGUCAAACUCCUGUGUACUCAGUAUAUUUGGUGAAUAAAAAUAUUCUGAUUUUGA